rnacentral:rRNA from 1 species
AUUGAACGCUGGCGGCAGGCCUAACACAUGCAAGUCGAACGAGUGGCGGACGGGUGAGUAAUGUCUGGGAAACUGCCUGAUGGAGGGGGAUAACUACUGGAAACGGUAGCUAAUACCGCAUACCAUCGGAUGUGCCCAGAUGGGAUUAGCUAGUAGGUGGGGUAACGGCUCACCUAGGCGACGAUCACUCGCUGGUCUGAGAGGAUGACCAGCCACACGGGAACUGAGACACUGUCCAGACUCCGACGGGAGGCAUCAGGGGGGAAUAUUUCACAAUGGGCGCAAGCCUGAUACAGCCAUGCCGCGUGUAUGAAGAAGGCCCUCGGGUUGUAAAGUACUUUCAGCGGGGAGGCGUUACCCGCAGAAGAAGCACCGGCUAACUCCGUGCCAGCAGCCGCGGUAAUUC